UGAUAUCUCUAUCAGUUUCCUCUUGGCUGCCUCCUAUGUCACGAAAUGAACAGCAGAAGAAUACACAUAUAUCCGAAUCCCCGUUCUGUAAAAAGUGAAGAACUUGUUAGUGCACCCCUCUAUCAGGACAAACCAGAAGGAGUGCUGAUUGCUGGAACAAGCUGGAAGCUGUUUCAGAAGACUAAAGUGAAGAUCAAGUAAUUGAUGCUGACGUGGAUAUGCCGCCAAAUGAACGAAUGACGUGGAGAUCACAACAGGAUGAGUUCAGUUUGGAGAGGAGAUAUUCAUGCGAAGAUUUGGAGUGAUCCAAGAUCUCGAACGCUAACCUAGAAGACCAAAGACCUCGAUAGUAUAAAUAGAGGUGCUAAGGUUCUUGUUAGACGGGGCCGUGAUUGUGAGUGAAAAGCUAGUGCAACGCUUUUCAUUAUUAGAGACUAAGGUUUAGUCUGAUUGGAAUUCUAGAGAGAUCAAAGAGUGUGUUCUUGUGAUCUGCUCUUGUGUGUUUAAGGAAAUCUCAGGUGACAAGCUAAAGUAGUUUAGAUCUUGUGUAAAACCAAUUAAGGUAGUUGUAAACUUCUUAAUCAGAUUUCUAAUAAAGUGAUACUCAGUGGUUCUGAGUUUGGGGAAUACGAUUCUUGGUUCAUCCGGAAUUUCAAAACUUACUGAUUCCUUCCUCAUGAGUCACCCUUUUGGCGCAAUCCCAGACGCCUUUGUAGUUACCGAACCCAUUUUGGUGCCUCAGCUUCGCCAUAUCAACAGGAGUUGAAACGGCAUAACUCCAUACAGCCGUGAAGGCCCAGGAAAUCACGUGCACCACGGGGUUGUUUGGAUUCCCGGUAGACAAGAAAUUCUUGGAUACAUCGUAGAAGGAGAAAUGUACGAAUUGAGCGGGUCCCAUGGC
rnacentral:sRNA from 1 species